GACGUAGGGCGCGAGCGUUGUCCGGAUUUAUUGGGCGUAAAGAGCUCGUAGGCGGCUUGUUACGUCGACUGUGAAAACCCGCGGCUCAACUGCGGGCCUGCAGUCGAUACGGGCAGGCUAGAGUUCGGUAGGGGAGACGUGGAAUUCCUGGUGUAGCGGUGGAAAUGACGCAGAUAUCAGGAGGAACACCGGUGGCGAAGGCGGGUCUCUGGGCCGAUACUGACGCUGAGGAGCGAAAGCGUGGGGAGCGAACAGG
rnacentral:rRNA from 1 species